rnacentral:rRNA from 1 species
AUCUGGUUCAGGAUGAACGCUGGCGGCGUGCCUAACACAUGCAAGUCGAACGGAAAUGCUGAAGGAAGUUCCGGAUGGAAUUCAGUAAUUUAGUGGCGGACGGGUGAGUAACACGUGGGUAACCUGCCUUGUACUGGGGGAUAACAGUUGGAAACGGCUGUUAAUACCGCAUAAGCGCACAGUUCCGCAUGGAGCAGUGUGAAAAACUCCGGUGGUACAAGAUGGACCCGCGUCUGAUUAGCUAGUUGGUGAGGUAACGGCCCACCAAGGCGACGAUCAGUAGCCGGCCUGAGAGGGUGAACGGCCACAUUGGGACUGAGACACGGCCCAGACUCCUACGGGAGGCAGCAGUGGGGAAUAUUGCACAAUGGAGGAAACUCUGAUGCAAGCGACGCCGCGUGAGCGAUGAAGUAUUUCGGUAUGUAAAGCUCUAUCAGCAGGGAAGAUAAUGACGGUACCUGACUAAGAAGCCCCGGCUAACUACGUGCCAGCCGCCGC